rnacentral:rRNA from 1 species
AUUGAACGCUGGCGGAAUGCUUUACACAUGCAAGUCGAACGGCAGCACGGACUUCGGUCUGGUGGCGAGUGGCGAACGGGUGAGUAAUGUAUCGGAACGUGCCCAGUCGUGGGGGAUAACGUAGUGAAAAUUACGCUAAUACCGCAUACGAUCUAUGGAUGAAAGCGGGGGAUCGCAAGACCUCGCGCGAUUGGAGCGGCCGAUAUCAGAUUAGGUAGUUGGUGGGGUAAAGGCCCACCAAGCCAACGAUCUGUAGCUGGUCUGAGAGGACGACCAGCCACACUGGAACUGAGACACGGUCCAGACUCAUACGGGAGGCAGCAGUGGGGAAAUUUGGACAAUGGGCGAAAGCCUGAUCCAGCCAUUCCGCGUGCAGGAUGAAGGCCCUCGGGUUGUAAACUGCUUUUGUACAGAACGAAAAGGUUUCUACUAAUACUAGGAGCUCAUGACGGUACUGUAAGAAUAAGCACCGGCUAACUACGUGCCAGCCGCCGCAGUAA